rnacentral:misc_RNA from 1 species
GAACGCACAUUGCACCCUCUGGUAUUCCGGAGGGUAUGCCUGUUUGAGUGUCAUUAACAUGUCAACACAGACAAGUUUUGUUACUUGUUCUGCUGCUUGGAUGCUGGAGGCUUGCUGGCAGUCUUUUGUCAGCUCCUUUUAAAUUCAUUAGCAGAGACCUUGCAUAACUGGCUUCAGUUUGAUAAUAUUGAACUGCUGCUAGGUAUCCCAUGCAUCAUGUUCUCAGCUUCUAACUGUCCAUUGACUUGGACUGUCUCUUAAGAGGCAAACAAUCUGACAACUUGACCUCAAAUCAGGUAGGAUUACCCGCUGAACUUAAG